UUUCUCCCAAGGGGCAUGAUUUAACUAAGUGUGAAGAGGGGCUAGGUAGGUAGAGAAUCAGAUGAAUCACUUGAAAAGAUUAAGGAUCUCUGCAAGAAGGAAAAGUUGGCAUUUUAAGUAGCUUUUUGAUCAAUUUGUGGCUACCUGAAACAAAAAAGAGCAAAUUGGUGAGAGGUAAUAGAGUAGACAUAGAGGGAGCAUAAUGCAGAGGCAAGCUGCAUCCUCCUCAUUUUGUGGGGCUGAAAUGCCUGAGUUUCUGUAUGGCAAGAAACACUGCUAGAGAUAGCCAGGGUUGAGCCGCCAUUUUGCUAGGGCCCUCCUGCAGAAUGCUGUCCUGUAAGCAAAGGACACAGGAGGUGGGAGGUGGGAGAUAAGGAGGCAGGAAAUUGCUCAGUCAGGUUCAAUCUUGUGCUUCUCCACAUCAGGGAACUCUGUGAUGAAGAAGUCUCUACAGGACUCUGGGAAGAAUGGUCCUGUACUCGAGUUUGAGUUUUAAGCUAGGAAAAUGGCUAAUAAUUGAAAAUGAUGGGAACACUAUGGAAUUUUCUUUGUAUGUCAUUAUGAAACUGCUGUGUAACAAAGAACCAAGAUCCAAAAUAGCAAGGCUGGGAGAGUUUGUGUGCUGCAGGAAGAGACGAAUAAGAAACAGAAGAUCAGUCAGUGCAUGGGUAAAUGACAUCUGUGCAUCCCAUUGUGUGAAAAAUAAUCUGCUUAUUUUGCCCUUUGUUCUAAAAUAAGUUCAUUACACAGGCUAUAUCA